GUUGGUCCCUUCCUGUAACAUACCCAAGCCUAUAAACCUGAGAACUAAAUUUAAUUUAAAUGCAUCAUGUGGUUGUGGAGUGAUUUUAAUUGUUUUUGGAUCUUAAUCAUCUCAUCAUCACAUGCAUCUUGAUAGGCCUAGAGUCACAAAAACAAUUAAUCUGGUAAUUAUAUGCAUCCAAAAAUUCCACAAAAAUUCUCAAAAAUACCUUGAUAUGUCAGAAAUCAACCCACAAAUUUUCAGAGUUUUUCAGUAAGGUUUGCUAACUUGUUGAUCUACUUUAAUCUCUCCAAAAUCCUGAAAAAAAAAACUGCUUAGCAGAUUCAAACUUGCUCUCUCUGUAAAAUUUAUUUCAAAACCUCUUUUUGAAGUUUGGUUUCAGCCAAAGUCUUCUACUAACUUUCUUCUAACACCCUGAGGAGUGGCAUACCCUGGAUCACUCUCUAACCCUUUCUUCUCUCCCUCCAAAAAUCCAAUCAGCUGCUAACUGCACUGUCAACUGCUGCUAACCAACACUGUCAACACAUGUUCAUCACUCCAUCAAACCUAAACCAGAGACUUCUAACCCAACCCACUUCAGCACAUUUACUCUCCACAUCACCCCUGACCAAGAGGAUAUCUAGCCAGAUUUCUUGCUGCUCAAAAUCCACCUUGAAUCCCCUCCAAAGAUCCUUGGCAGGUAACCCUCAUUGACUUAGCCUCCAAGGCUAUUUUCGAAUUUCUUUCACUGACAGUGGGCCCCACAACCCCCGGGACCCACAUGACAGCCUCCCACUCUCCCCUCACAGCAUCCACCGUUCCUCAUGCCCAAUAAAUGCCCAAGGAACACAAUGAGUGCACCAGCCACCUCUCUCUCUCUCACUCCCCCACUCCACUCUUCCUUAUUUCCCAAGCCAAAGCACCAGAAGCAACAGCUCGCUCCCCACAUCGCGUUCCAAGUCCAAGAAAACACACCCCACGCACAGAAUGCCCAGAGCUCGGCCAUCUUCCCCGGCUCCGGCGACUUAGCCGUCGUCGCCGUGCAUCCCCGGACCAAUCUGUCGAGCACGUGGUGGGCGUCACCGUCCUCGCCGCCGGCCACCCGAACCGCCGACGCCGCUCCGGCCGCCGUUCCUCACCACCGAAGCAACACCAAGCUCCGGUGAGUUUCCGCCGGAUUCCUCGCGCAUGCACCCUCUGUGGCUCAUCUCUAACACCCCCGUACUCUCGAAGUUACAGUUCGCGCCUUGAGUCGACCCGGCGACGUCGACGCCGGAGUUUUGCCGCCGUUGGCCAUCAACCACCGUCUCCGCCGCUCCCUGGACCUCGCUGCCUCCGUUUCUCUGCUUGAGGAAGAAUACGUCGAAGAAGAAGAGGGUGAGUUUGUUGACGACCAGGCUCAGGAGUUUGCAGACGAAGGAAAGUUUGCCCCUCCUUUGACCACAUUGAUCCUAUGUUCUAUUGGGCUAAAUGAUUCUAUUGCAAACAUGCAUACGUUAGCUAGUAUUAAUUUUGGUAAAAAAAAUAUUAUAUAAAUGUGGGAAUGGUAGAUAUGACCUAAUUGCUGCAUAAUCCACCUUGAAAUA